GCGGAGGAAAAGAAACUAACAAGGAUUCCCCUAGUAACUGCGAGUGAAGCGGGAAAAGCUCAAAUUUAAAAUCUGGCAGUCUUUGGCUGUCCGAGUUGUAAACUAGAGAAGUGUUAUCCGCGCUGGACCGUGUAAAAGUCUCCUGGAAUGGAGCAUCAUAGAGGGUGAGAAUCCCGUCUUUGACAUGGACUACCAGUGCUUUGUGAUGCGCUCUCAAAGAGUCGAGUUGUUUGGGAAUGCAGCUCAAAAUGGGUGGUAAAUUCCAUCUAAAGCUAAAUAUUGGCGAGAGACCGAUAGCGAACAAGUACCGUGAGGGAAAGAUGAAAAGAACUUUGGAAAGAGAGUUAAACAGUACGUGAAAUUGCUGAAAGGGAAACGCUUGAAGUCAGUCGCGUUGGCCAGGAAUCAACCUUGCUUUUGCUGGGCGUACUUUCUGGUUGACGGGUCAGCAUCAAUUUUGACUGUUGGAAAAAGUUCAAGGGAAUGUGGCAUCUUCGGAUGUGUUAUAGCCCUCGUUCGCAUACAGCAGUUGGGAUUGAGGAACUCAGCACGCCGCAAGGCCGGGUUUCGACCACGUUCGUGCUUAGGAUGCUGGCAUAAUGGCUUUAAUCGACCCGUCUUGAAACACGGACCAAGGAGUCUAACAUGCCUGCGAGUGUUUGGGUGGAAAACCCAAGCGCGCAAUGAAAGUGAAAGUUGAGAUCCCUGUCGUGGGGAGCAUUGACGCCCGGACCAGACCUUUUGUGACGGAUCCGCGGUAGAGCAUGCAUGUUGGGACCCGAAAGAUGGUGAACUAUGCCUGAAUAGGGUGAAGCCAGAGGAAACUCUGGUGGAGGCUCGUAGCGAUUCUGACGUGCAAAUCGAUCGUCAAAUUUGGGUAUAGGGGCGAAAGACUAAUCGAACCAUCUAGUAG
rnacentral:rRNA from 1 species